UAUUCACAGGUGCAAUCAUAGUGCACUACAGCCUCAAACUCCUAGCCUCAAGCAAUCCUCAUGCCUCAGCCUCCAGAGUAGCUGGGCCUACAGGUACUUAACACCUCAUCUGGCAUCCCCCAGUCAGAUAUUUGGAUGAGACCCCUGCCUUGGCUAACACCUUGAUGAAAACCUGUGGAAGGUUCUAAGGCAGGACCCUCAGCGCAGCCACUUCUCCAGGCACUCGGCAGAGAGAACGCGCGUAGGCGUUGCCCUGGCAACGCCGGGAUGCCCAGCAACAAGUCCGCGGCGUGUAUCACGUGCUCGGCGCGGACCAAUCCGAGGGCCCGCCGGGAAGCAGGAGCAAUAGCAAAAAUUGGGAAUGGGAAGAAACAGGUACCAGCCAGGACACCUGAACGAACUUGGAGCUCAGGAACCCAGGAGGGGAUUGGAGAGAGUGGGGAGACUCCAUGGUCCACAAUGAAUGCUCCUUCCCCAUCCGAAAAAAUCCCCUAGCCCAGUUUUUGGGCAGAUGCCAGACUUUUAUUCUGAAGCGUGGGCCACAACCUAUGAGGUAAUCUUUGGAGCUUCAUUCUGAGGCGGAAUCCCAUUGGCCAGUUGGGGAAGCCCCUCCCAGGAUUCCUGGCGCUCCGCCUUCCCUGAAGCCUAUAAAAGCGCAGGUCCCCGCCUCGGCAGCCACGGGACACCUGCAUCUGCCAACAAGACUGGAAGCAGAAAGGGACAGAGACGGCGAAGUUUGACGGUCUGGAAAGCAGAGACCAGCAGGGCUGACUGCUUGGGAGCACCAAAUAUCCGGACAGCGCCUCUCGGGAGGUCCGAGAAGAGAACCGCGAUCUGUUUCAGCACCGGGGCUCAGGACAGUUCCCAGCGGGCUCCGUUUCGUCUCCAGAACCCUGGACAGCUCCUCCAGACUUCGGUGAGAAACCUUGUGCCAAGCAUUUUACAUACAUCAUAUCAUGCCAUCUUCAACCCUAGGACAUGGGUGUUACUGUGCCCAUGUGACAUUUGGGGAACCCAAGGCCCUGAGAAAGGCAGAAAAAUAACCCACGCAGGGACUCUCAGCCCACAAGUGAAGCUGAGAACCGGGAAUGGAAAACAGGGAGGCAGCACAGAGGCAGGAAACUCAGGUGUCAUAGCUUGGCUCAGCUUGGAAUGCACUCCCUCCACCUCCAACCAGAGCUCCCCACAACUGACCCUGCCUUCUUCUGCAAGCUCCAUUUCAUCAAGGGAAACGAUCCUUAUUGCCUCACCAUUUCCCACGUGAAGUCUGUAUUGACAUUCUCAUAGACCUGGGAUAUUGUGUCUGCAGCACAUAGUCCAAUUAUUUUCAUGUUAUCUACUGACAGGUCUAUUUGUCUCCCUGUUACACUGUGAGCUCCGUGAGGGCAGAAACAAUGUUAGUAUUUUCACUGCUGUGUCCCCAGCGCCUGGUCCGGGGCCCGGCACACAGCAGGCAUAUAAUAAGCAUGUGUUGAAUCAAUAAAGGCAUCAAAGAAUAAACCAAUACAUCAAUCAAUAAAUGAAUGAAUGGCCUCAGCACACACAGGAAGAUCCUUCUUCUAGGUCUCCCCCAGAGAGAUACUGGAGGGCAAUGGUUGCUGGAGGUGUUUAUUGGGGAAGCAUAAUUGAAUUUGUGGACACUUAAGGGCCGGCCAGCCAACUCACAGCCCCAAGAGAGAGAGCCAGGCUCAUUUAAUUAGCAAUUACAAGGCACUGAUUCCUCAUUAGCUCUGGCAACCCUCGUCUCCCUCCUCAGCCCCAGACAAAUGAAAUCUUUCUCUCUCUCCCAGGAGUACUGCCUCAGUGGGUCCAUUAACAAGCAGAGAAAAUGAGAUUAGAAGACACCUAAAUGCCAGAGGCACUUUAUGAAUGGGCUGAGCAGAGGGAGGUUCAAUGUCUGGGUUAGGUCUAAUUGUGGGAGGUUUCCUGGUCUAUUUAGAAUUGCCCCCUGGGAAUGCAAGGUCUUUCAGAAAGGAAAAGGCACACAGAUAUUGCCUUCUGGGGUCCUCAAUGGAGGAGGACAUUCUGCUAUGGGUGUCUCCCAGUCACCCCAAAUUAAUCAUUUCAAAGUGAACACUCAAUCUGCCCAGCCCCUAGCUUCCUCCCCUGACAUGCCCAUGAAUAUGACAGUCCCUCUACAUGCCCAAGAUCCUCCCCUCCUCAUCCACUCCCCAUGAUCCCCAAGAUGAGUCACUGUGCUCAAAUCCAUCCUCUCUCCUCCAGCCCUCUGCCUCCAUGACCUCCCUCCAGCCCUCUGCCUCCAUGACCUCCGCCUCCCUGCAUGUCCGGAUCUCCUCACUGUCUCCCCUCUGAGCAUACACACACAUACAGCCUGUUCAUUCUCUACAUGCAGCGAGGGGACUUUCCAGAACACACAUCUGACCAAGUUCCACUCCUGCCUGUCACCCUUCCAAGAGCCCCACUGACUGCAGAAUAACGUUCAAAUAUCCGGUUGGGCGUGGUGGCUCAUGCCUGCAGUCCCAGCACUUUGGGAGGCCAAGGUGGGUGGAUCACUUGCACAGGACCACAGGCGUGUGCCACCACACCCAGCUAAUUUUUAUAUUUUUGGUAGAGACGGAGUUUCACCAUGUUGGCCAGGCUGACCUCAAGUGAUCCACCCGCCUCAACCUCCCAAAGUGCUGGGAUUACAGGCAUGAGUCACUGCACCGGUCUAAUUUUUUCAGAGUCUCACUCUUGCCCAGGCUGGAGUGCAGUAGCAUGAUCUCGGUUCACUGCAACCUCUGCCUCCUGGUUUCAAGCGAUUCUCUUGGCUCAGCCUCCUGAGCAGCUGGGAUUACAGGCACGUGCCACCACACUUAGCUAAUUUUUGUAUUUUUAGUAGAGAUGGGGGUCUCACCAUGCUGGCACAGUUGGUCUUGAACUCCUGACCUCAAGUGAUCCACCCACCUCGGCUUCCCAAAGUGCUGGGAUUACAGACGUGAGCCACCGCGCCCGGCCAGCCUUUAUUGAUUCUUUUUAAAGCCACACUAACCUUUUAUUUUCCCCCAAAGACCCCUGGGAGCCCUCAGUUUUUCCUGGCAGUUUCAUCUUUGUACCCCUGACCUCCCCACACACACGCCUAGCUCAGUGCUGGCAUCCAAUAUUCACUUUGGGUAUAAAUGCUUGUGCCUGAGCCUAUCACCUUCAUCACACAGAAAAUCCUGGAGGCCACACACCCCUGUAAAGACGAGCCAUUACCCACAGAGGUCCAACCAACUUACCACCCUCUCCCAGCCACCCCCAAGGACCCAGCUUGCAGCUGCCUGCUCAAUGGCUUUAGAAACUAAAAAAGGUGAAUGAGUUUCCAUCACUGCCCUCCUGGGCUUUGCCGUUAUGGCUGGUUAACUUGACAGAAGAACACAUUAUACUUCAUUUUUUGCUGUUGUCUUGUUGGAAAAAAAAGUGACAGCUGGGUGCAGUGGUGCACACUGUAGUCACAGCUACUCAGGAGAAUUGCUUGAGCACAGGAAUUGGAGGCUACACUGAGCAAUGAUCGCCUCACUGCACUCCAGCCUGAACGACAGAGCAAGACCCUCUUAAAAAAUACGUGAGAGAGGGUGCGUAUGAUGGCUCAUGCCUGUAAUCCCAGCAGUUUG
rnacentral:lncRNA from 1 species